GCAAAGAGUUGGCUGAGUGGCUUAAAGCGGCCUCGAUUGGGGGCAAGCUAAUGUUUUAGCUUCCAUGGGUUCGAAUCCCUGCCUCUUUGCA
rnacentral:tRNA from 1 species